rnacentral:tRNA from 1 species
GCGGGUAUAGCUCAGUGGUAGAAUAAGUGCUUAGAAUGCACGAGGUCCUGGGUUCAGUCCCCAGUACCUCCA